rnacentral:lncRNA from 1 species
UUACAUUAUUUUGUUAUUAAAAAUUAGGUUAUUUUAAGAAAUAAUAAAAAUCUUAAUUUCUGUAUAAGUAUUGUAAAUAUUCAAGACGAUUUAUACAAAAUUUAAUUGCGAUUCUAAGCUUAAGUUAUUUGGUACAUAAUUAAAUAAAUAAAUAUUAUUUACAGAACAAUUAAUGGGUGCAUCGCAAUAAAACCUUACAUUAAAAAAUUCAGAUUUUUGUUAUUAUUUCUUAAUUAUAUUUCUAUUAACACAUUUUUACUUUUUGAAAUAAUAUUGAAUCUAGAUAGAAUAUCGCUGCCGAAUUUUAUUAUUUUCAAAUGCAUAGAACACAAACUAUAAUGUUUGCAUCAUUUUGCCAUUAUUUUGAAAAAUAGAUCUUUAAGAUAUAUAUUAUGUAUAUACGUAUAUAGUACUUGUAAUAUUGCUUUUAUAUGUAAUAUACAUAUAACAUAUAGUACAUACUAUGUAUAUUAUUUUCUAUAUGUACAGUAUACAUUCUGCGAUAUUAACGAAACUCGAUAAAGAUACUAUAGUCGUACAUAUUACAAAUAUUAAUAAUAUUUAACGAUAUUUUAAGAGAGUGUCAUAAACCUCUUCGUCCUUUUAUUUGUGAUUGUCUCUUUGUCAAUUUAUCUAUUUGUAAUUUUGUAAUUCAAUUAUGGAUCAAAAAGUCUAAAAUUGUGAAAUCUGAAAUAUUCCGUAUCAUUCUGCGCCGUAAUAUUAUCGUAUACAAUACGCCGGUGUUGCUACGAUCAUUCGGCGGUCCCAUCUUUCUCUCUCGCAUUCAUUAAAACCUUCCUGACAUCUGUCGCGUUUCCAUCCGUUAGAUCGAUCGGCGUUUCUCCUCCUAUGGUCAGCCUGACAAAGAGAUACAGUCAGUAACACGCCGAUGAUUUGUGAAACUGUCCGGUCAGCAAGUAUGCCAGAAUGUAUAUGGCUUCGCGCAAGCGCAACCCCUUUUUCCGGCGACCCCAUGUAUUGACGCGGUGGUCACUAGCAGAACUAGAGAACCCUCACUGACCAGCACCCCUCUAUUCCGUUCGGGCGUCCAUGGAGAAGGCUGUAUGUCUUACGGAAUGCCUAUGAUGCUUUCUCGCAACCCCUCCAAAUCCUCCUCCAGUACCCCUUCCGUCCCGCCGCACGCCCGUGCAUCCUCAACUUCCAAGCACUCUCCAGCACCCCGAUUCCCCGAGUCACCCUCUCUAUCUCUGUUUCUCUCUGGACCCGACCCCAUCUCCUCUGACGGCCACACGCUCGUGACAAGUGCGAGGCGGCCAUCCAAUAACCCGCACCGGCCACUGGCCUCCUCGGACUCCCACCUUCGACGCCGCCAUAACCAGCCAAGUUAUUGAGGACACGGAGGAAUUAAGAAACGGAAGGGGAUACGUUCGUCUGUCCGUUCCCCAUAUCCUUAUUUUCCUUCACAAUCUUUCGGAUGAUGAAUGUAGUAAUACCAAGGAUUUUUUAUAUAACAUUUCUUUGUUUAUCUAAAGAGUAAUCUUAUUAUAAAUUAUGGCAUAUCUAUAUUAUAUUAUAAUUUUAUAUUAUAUCUAGAUAUAUCAUAUCUGUAUGAUAUUAUAUUCCAUUUUAUAAGAAGAAAUACAAAAAAUUUUAGCAAUAGGAUGUAAUUCAUAACAUAAAUAUCUGUGCUAUUUAUACCUUUAAAAAAUCUGUCAUUAUUAAUAUUUAUUAUACAAUUUUUAUUUUUUACCAUAUAUAACAUAUCUUGGUUUUAAUAAUUAUAAUUAUAAAUUAUAAUCAUAAUUUAUAAGUUAUAAUCAUAUAUUUCAUUUUAAAUUUGUAACAAACAUUUAUUUUAAAACUAAAUGUAAUCUACAUAUAAUAUAAUAUUAAUAGAAAGAGAAUAGCCUUCAAUAAUUAAUCAGAUUAAAGGAGAAUAAUCUAUAGUAUCAGGGAAAGAUAAUAAUUAAUUGAAAUAAAGAAAAAAUAGUGUCAAAGAAAAUUGUAUUAAAUAUUCUUUCGAUUUUUUUCUGCUGACAAUCUAUCCACAAAAUAAAAAAUAGACUUUUCAUUACUUAUUUUUAUUAUACACAAAAUUUUACGCGCUUUAAUGUGAUUUCAACAAGUAUAUUUAGUCAAUAUUUAUUUUAAAAGACAGAACUUUUAGAAAAUCUUUAGAUAAUAAUAUAAUAAUAUUGUACAAAAAGAGAGAGGAGGAAGAUGAGAAAGAGAAAAAAGAGAGAGAGAGAGAGAGAGAGAAAUUAUCUCCUCUGAAAGUACGUGAUCAAAUGUCCAAUAAAGACCAGUUCAUCUACAGCUUUUACGAGUCAGGCUGCUAUUAUUAGGCAAGACUCAUUGUAAACAAUAAUACGUGAAGAACAAUCAAUCCCUCACAAUGUACGCCUCGAAAUAACAGGUGCUGUACAACGUUCAUCCCGUAUUCAGACGAAUGGAUGAACAUCGUGUGCUGACGGUUAUAGUCCGAAACGUUGGAGAUGAGGCACAUUUAUAUAGGCACGCACACGCGCAAGCAAGUCCAGUAGUCGGUCCAGUGGCCGUAGCUGCGGCCGGCAGCUGCGGGGGUGGCGAUCGGGGCUUUCCCCCCUCGGCCGUAGGAGGGUGGCGAGGCGUUGAUCAAUACGUGAAGAUAGAAUCCGAUGCUACCCAUCCAGCCAUUCCGCCUCCCCCUACCCCCUUCCCUCUUUGUCCCCUUGGUUCCUCUCCACCAUACGCCAGCUCGACAACGCUACAACCGCCGUUGCCCGGUCCGGCUGAGGGUAUCGCGGCUCAAUCGACUGAUUUGUCACCCACGCAUCAUUUUCUUCGAAGGAGGGUGGAUUUCUCCAAGCUUACCGUUCAAACCUUGCGGCGCUUCCAUUAGUGGAAUAUCGCGACUGUAAAAUGGAAGAGGAAACGGAACACUUUUAAUUCUACAAUUUCGAUAUGAACUACGUUAAUUAACUCGUACCCCACUGCUCUCUCAACUCAGAGCACGUAAUUAUCCGAUUAAAGAAUCGUACGAAAAAUGUACGUCACACUGGCUGAAUAAACAGAGAUGAUAAGAGCGAUCGAGCGGUCAUUGGACCGUUGACGAGAAUCGGUUUAGCGUACCGUGCCGCAGUGUAAGAGGUAGGGACCAACGUUAGCUUUAUGUUAAUCUCGGCUAGCGGCGCUGCGGCUGACAACGAUGCUGUCGCUGUUAAUAUCGCCCGGUGACGUAGUAGUAACUAGUUGCCGGUAUACCUGCCGGCCAAACUGCAUUGCGUCGACACAGUCUGGGCGCGUACGUACGUGUGGAGUAUGCAGCCCGUCGCUAUACGUACUCUCUCUCCUAUGGUGUACGCUUCGGGGGUGGUAUCGCACGAUAUGGUGUGGCUGUACCACCGAGAGGGUGGCGACAGGGGUGGCAAUCAAUAUGGGCCUCAACGCAAACACGGCGCCGCUGUUGUACUAACAUCAAAUAGGCGGAUAGCGACCGGUCGCUCGCCUCGUGUGCAUUGUCUACUCUACUGCUCUGUAUAAACCGACCGCUUUUCGAUAUUUUUCGCCCGGCUGAUCGAGUCGGGUUAACCGUCGCCGAUUGUGCCGACCUCGAUAUUUGCAAUACUUUUACGCCUUCGCACGAAGACGUUACUUAAAAAAAAAAAAAAAA